GGGGAAUUUUCCGCAAUGGGCGAAAGCCUGACGGAGCAAGACCGCGUGAGGGAGGAAGGCUCUUGGGUUGUAAACCUCUUUUGUCAGGGAAGAAGAAAGUGACGGUACCUGAAGAAUCAGCAUCGGCUAACUCCGUGCCAGCAGCCGCGGUAAUACGGAGGAUGCAAGCGUUAUCCGGAAUUAUUGGGCGUAAAGCGUCCGCAGGUGGUCAAUCAAGUCUGCUGUCAAAGAGUGGGGCUUAACCCCAAAGAGGCAGUGGAAACUGAAGGACUAGAGUGCUCAAGGGGUAGAGGGAAUUCUCGGUGUAGCGGUGAAAUGCGUAGAGAUCGGGAAGAACAUCGGUGGCGAAAGCGCUCUACUGGAGAGCAACUGACACUCAGGGACGAAAGCUAGGGGAGCGAAUGGGAUUAGAUACCCCAGUAGUCCUAGCCGUAAACGAUGGAUACUAGGUGUGGCUUGUAUCGACCCGAGCCGUGCCGAAGCUAACGCGUUAAGUAUCCCGCCUGGGGAGUACGCACGCAAGUGUGAAACUCAAAGGAAUUGACGGGGGCCCGCACAAGCGGUGGAGUAUGUGGUUUAAUUCGAUGCAACGCGAAGAACCUUACCAGGGCUUGACAUGUCCGGAAUCUUUCUGAAAGGAGAGAGUGCCUUCGGGAGCCGGAACACAGGUGGUGCAUGGCUGUCGUCAGCUCGUGUCGUGAGAUGUUGGGUUAAGUCCCGCAACGAGCGCAACCCUCGUCCUUAGUUGCCAGCAUUAAGUUGGGCACUUUAGGGAGACUGCCGGUGACAAACCGGAGGAAGGUGGGGAUGACGUCAAGUCAGCAUGCCCCUUACGCCCUGGGCGACACACGUACUACAAUGCUACGGACAAAGGGCAGCAAGCCAGCAAUGGCAAGCCAAUCCCAGAAACCGUGGCUCAGUUCAGAUCGCAGGCUGCAACUCGCCUGCGUGAAGGAGGAAUCGCUAGUAAUUGCAGGUCAGCAUACUGCAGUGAAUCCGUUCCCGGGCCUUGUACACACCGCCCGUCACACCAUGGAAGCUGGCCACGCCCGAAGUCGUUACCCUAACCUUUCGAGGAGGGGGAUGCCGAAGGUAGGGCUGGUGACUGGGGUGAAGUCGUAACAAGGUAGCCGUACCGGAAGGUGUGGCUGGAUCACCUCCUUUUAGGGAGACCUACUUCGAUAAGUACCAAGAACCAAUGGUUCUGGUCAAAUCAGAAGACAUCCCAAGGUCGUACGAGAUUGAGUGUAAAAAAGCUUUCAAACUAGAUUUGGUUCGGGAAAUGGGCUAUUAGCUCAGGUGGUUAGAGCGCACCCCUGAUAAGGGUGAGGUCCCUGGUUCGAGUCCAGGAUGGCCCACCUAACCAAAAGCCAAAUCCCCAAGAUUCAGUUAACUUCAGCACCUUAACUUGUGAAGAAAACAAGCAAGAAUGCUGGAGUCUUACUCCAGAUGUGAACCUUGAAAACUGCAUAGUAAAGAGAAAGAACAAGCAGGUAGAACCGUUGAGAAUAACUACAAGUAGUAGUUAAGCUGAGCAGUUUAUCCAAACAGAAAAAGCGCAAUGUGGUCAAGCUACAAAGAGCUAACGGUGGAUACCUAGGCACACAGAG
rnacentral:rRNA from 1 species